UUAGCUCUAGGUUAGGGUUUGGAUUAGCUCUAGGUUAGGGUUUGGAUUAGCUCUAGGUUAGGGUUAGCUCUAGGUUAGGGUUAGCUCUAGGUUAGGGUUAGCUCUAGGUUAGGGUUAGCUCUAGGUUAGGGUUUGGAUUAGCUCUAGGUUAGGGUUUGGAUUAGCUCUAGGUUAGGGUUAGGUCAGUUUUGGGUUAGGUUAGGGUUUGGAUUAGGUCUAGGUUAGGGUUUGGUUUAGGUUUGGGUUAGGUUAGGUUUAGGUCAUGGUCCCUGAGUUUAGCACACCCACAUGACUAAGAUAUUGUAAUUUUCGGUCGAGAGUGGUUAUACAUUUGGGUGGUUAGACCGUUCGUCCGGUAACCGAAAGGUUAAUUGGGCCGAAUCCCGGAGCUGACCAGGUAUAAAACAAAACGGUCCUUCUCCUGAACAAGGCAGUUAACCCACGGUUCCUAGGGCAGUUAACCCCACUGUUCCUAGACCAGUUAACCCACGGUUCCUAGGGCAGUUAACCCCACUGUUCCUAGACCAGUUAACCCACGGUUCCUAGACCAGUUAACCCACGGUUCCUAGACCAGUUAACC
ensembl:lncRNA